GACCUGGUGGUGUAACUGGCAACACACUUGCCUUAAUUAGCCAAGAAGAAACUUGUGUACAAGAACUCCCCGUUCGAUUCGGGGUCAGGUCU